UACGGGAGGCAGCAGUGGGGAAUCUUGGACAAUGGACGAAAGCCUGAUCCAGCCAUCCCGCGUGUAUGAUGAAGGCCUUCGGGUUGUAAAGUACUUUUGGCAGAGAAGAAAAGGCAUCCCCUAAUACGGGAUGCUGCUGACGGUAUCUGCAGAAUAAGACACCGGCUAACUACGUGCCAGCGCCGCGGUAAUAA
rnacentral:rRNA from 1 species